ACAUCCGGCGAGUAGCUGGCGGUCCCGGGUGCUGCUGGUUAGUGUGCUCUGAGGGAGGGUCCGAGCCAGCCGCUGUUUUGCCGGAGGAGCCCCUCAGGCCGUUCAAGCGUUUCUCCUGCCUCAGCCUUCUGCAUAGCUGGGAUUACAAGCAAGCGCUGCCGCGCCCAGCUGUUCAUUUUAUUCUUCAUCUGGCAUUCUUUGAAUAGAUGCAGGUCUCUCUAUGUUACCCAGGCUGGUCUUGAACUCCUGAGGUCAGGGAGGAAUCCCCCACCUCAGCCUUGCAAAAUGCUGGGAUUACAGGUAGUAAGCAUUAAUAAUGUCUUUCAUCUUUGAGUGGAUCUACAAUGGCUUCAGCAGUGUGCUCCAGUUCCUAGGACUGUACAAGAAAUCUGGAAAACUUGUAUUCUUAGGUUUGGAUAAUGCAGGCAAAACCACUCUUCUUCACAUGCUCAAAGAUGACAGAUUGGG
rnacentral:lncRNA from 1 species